CAAGCUCAUCGAGAAAAUGAUCGGUUUGUACACCUUAUGCUUUAAUUCUCAUUUAUUUCUUAAUUGAUUCUUUGCUUUGCUGGAGGAAAAUAGAGGAAAUUUCUGCUUCGAAUUAUAGGGGGAAAAACUCUCAUUUUGAUGAAAUACCCAAGGACAUGUCUAUUUUUAGAAGAAUAUUAUCAGCACUAUAGCGGUAAAGCUUACUCUAAGUUGAUGAGACUCUUUUCCCUCCAAUGAUUAGGGAAGCUUCUGUCCUUUGUCAGGCUCGUAGUUGAACAUUGUGGAUUGCAUUGCCGAUUAGUUUAGACUGACACUUGCGUCUGUGAAUAAGAUGGAAAGUUUUUAAGUUGAUUUCUUGUAGCUUGAGAAGUCUGUUAUUCUUGAAUUCCCUCAUAAAAAGAGCACCAAUGAAGUGAAUAUCAUCCCGUUCCUUGGCUGCCUCUGGGCUUGGAAUGUUAUUGCUGAUCUGUUAUGCACUUGGGCUCAUUUCUUGUUGUUGAGCUUGUCCUUAGGUGUUUGGUUGUGGAAAUAUCCUGUUUCCUGGGAAGUAUAAUCAGUUUGAUACUAUAAUCUUUCAUGAUGCCAUUAGUGUUUGCCUGUUAGAUCUCCUUGCAUUUUGACUUGGAGGUAGUUGCUAGUUGGUGAGAGUUCCACCCAGCAUGAUGUAAAUAAUUACCUGGAAAAAUUUUGUUCCUUUCUCGUCUAACUGUUGGCAUGUAAAGUAGAUGUAAUGUUGAAUGAAGUUUGAUUGUGAAGAACAAGGGAAUAGUGAGCGCAAGGUAUUUUGUUUAACUGGUGCUGUAUAUGAUACUGUGAUGUUUAAGUUUAUGAUUGAAAUUUAGUUUAAUCUAUGAUGUGGUAUUAAAUUUUCAUCUGAAUGGAGGCAAUGUUAGUUGAUUUGUUUUCCACACCUUUAUCAUGUGGCACGAUUAUUUGCUAUGGGUUCUCUUGUCCCCAACUUCCAUGUUUGAGAUCAUUCAGAAUGUUUAGGAGUUUGAAGAAGUGUCACAGAUGCUAUUCUUCAAUAAAUUUGUGAAAUGUUAAGAUUUUAUUAGUGACUGUGCUUUUUAAUCGUGCUGUGUUGCAGAGUGGGAUCCUUGGGGUGUUCCUGAUGACUAUGAAUGUGAAGUUAUAGAAAAUGAUGCACCAGUUCCGAAGCAUGUUCCUUUACAUCGACCUGGUCCUCUUCCUGAGGAGUUCUACAAGACACUUGAGGCUGUGCAGUCCAAAAAUGAUGCACCUGCAGUCACCUCUGGUCAGACAGAGUCAAAGGAGAAAUGCUUGGGGCACACUUAAUUUGAGAAACAUCGAGUUUCAGAGUUCAAUUUCUCUUUGUUUCUCGUUUAUUGUUUUGUGUUUGUUCUCUUGUAAUUCCUGUUUGCCAGAUUGAAUAGGGUUUUCAUGAAACAAGGGCCAGAACCAUUCAGUGAAUAAUCCUGACUUGGGCAGACGUUACUAAAAGUUGUUUUUAUAAAAUCUCAUUCUUGAUUUCCUAUUAAAAAUAAAUUUUGGCUAGUCUAUUGAACGGUA
rnacentral:misc_RNA from 1 species